rnacentral:rRNA from 1 species
GGACGAACGCUGGCGGCGUGCUUAACACAUGCAAGUCGAACGAGAAUCUGCGGAAAGAGGAUUCGUCCAAUUGAAGCAGAGGACAGUGGCGGACUGGUGAGUAACGCGUGAGGAACCUGCCUUUCAGAGGGGGACAACAGUUGGAAACGACUGCUAAUACCGCAUAAGCCCACGGCUCGGCAUCGAGCAGAGGGAAAAGGAGCAAUCCGCUUUGAGAUGGCCUCGCGUCCGAUUAGCUAGUUGGUGAGGUAACGGCCCACCAAGGCGACGAUCGGUAGCCGGACUGAGAGGUUGAACGGCCACAUUGGGACUGAGACACGGCCCAGACUCCUACGGGAGGCAGCAGUGGGGAAUAUUGCACAAUGGGGGAAACCCUGAUGCAGCGACGCCGCGUGGAGGAAGAAGGUCUUCGGAUUGUAAACUCCUGUUGUUGAGGAAGAUAAUGACGGUACUCAACAAGGAAGUGACGGCUAACUACGUG